rfam:Dengue virus type 2 strain 16681-PDK53 capsid protein (C) gene, matrix protein (M) gene, envelope protein (E) gene, nonstructural protein (NS1, NS2A, NS2B, NS3, NS4A, NS4B, NS5) genes, mature peptides.
AUGAAUGACCAACGGAAAGAGGCGAAAAACACGCCAUUCAAUAUG